UAGGGAAUCUUCGGCAAUGGGGGCAACCCUGACCGAGCAACGCCGCGUGAGUGAAGAAGGUUUUCGGAUCGUAAAGCUCUGUUGUAAGUCAAGAACGAGUGUGAGAGUGGAAAGUUCACACUGUGACGGUAGCUUACCAGAAAGGGACGGCUAACUACGUGCCAGCAGCCGCGGUAAUACGUAGGUCCCGAGCGUUGUCCGGAUUUAUUGGGCGUAAAGCGAGCGCAGGCGGUUUGAUAAGUCUGAAGUUAAAGGCUGUGGCUCAACCAUAGUUCGCUUUGGAAACUGUCAAACUUGAGUGCAGAAGGGGAGAGUGGAAUUCCAUGUGUAGCGGUGAAAUGCGUAGAUAUAUGGAGGAACACCGGUGGCGAAAGCGGCUCUCUGGUCUGUAACUGACGCUGAGGCUCGAAAGCGUGGGGAGCGAACAGGAUUAGAUACCCUGGUAGUCCACGCCGUANCGAUGAGUGCUAGGUGUUGGAUCCUUUCCGGGAUUCAGUGCCGCAGCUAACGCAUUAAGCACUCCGCCUGGGGAGUACGACCGCAAGGUU
rnacentral:rRNA from 1 species